GAUGAACGCUGGCGGCGUGCCUAAUACAUGCAAGUCGAGCGAACAGACGAGGCGCUUGCUCCUCUGACGUUAGCGGCGGACGGGUGAGUAACACGUGGAUAACCUACCUAUAAGACUGGGAUAACUUCGGGAAACCGGCGCUAAUACCGGAUAAUAUAUUGAACCGCAUGGUUCAAUAGUGAAAGACGGUUUUGCUGUCACUUAUAGAUGGAUCCGCGCCGCAUUAGCUAGUUGGUAAGGUAACAGCUUACCAAGGCAACGAUGCGUAGCCGACCUGAGAGGGGGAUCGGCCACACGGGAACUGAGACACGGUCCAGACUACUACGGGAGGCAGCAGUAGGGAAUCGUCCGCAAUGGGCGAAAGCCUGACGGAGCAACGCCGCGUGAGUGAUGAAGGUCUUCGGAUCGUAAAACUCUGUUAUUAGGGAAGAACAAAUGUGUAAGUAACUAUGCACGUCUUGACGGUACCUAAUCAGAAAGCCACGGCUAACUACGUG
rnacentral:rRNA from 1 species